rnacentral:rRNA from 1 species
GAGCGAGUGAUCGUAAGCAAAUCUCAAAAAUAAACGUCUCAGUUCGGAUUGUAGUCUGCAACUCGACUACAUGAAGCUGGAAUCGCUAGUAAUCGCGAAUCAGCAUAGUCGCGGUGAAUACGUUCCCGGGUCUUGUACACACCGCCCGUCACACCAUGGGAGUUGGUAACGCCCGAAGCCAGUGACCCAACCGGAAACGGAGGGAGCUGUCGAAGGUGGGACCGAUGACUGGGGUGAAGUCGUAACAAGGUACC